rnacentral:rRNA from 1 species
GACGAACGCUGGCGGCGUGCCUAAUACAUGCAAGUAGGACGCAGUUGCGAACGGGUGAGUAACGCGUAGGUAACUACCUAUUAGAGGGGGAUAACUAUUGGAAACGAUAGCUAAUACCGCAUACUAGUAGAUGGAUCUGCGUGGUAUUAGCUAGUAGGUAGGGUAAUGGCCUACCUAGGUAACGAUACAUAGCCGACCUGAGAGGGGGAUCGGACCCCCGGGGACUGGUGCACGGCCCAGACUGCUACGGGAGGACGCAUCAGGGAACCUGCGGAAAUUGGGGGAGCCAUGACCGAGCAACGGCGCGUGAGUGAAGAAGGUUUUCGGGUCGUAAAGCACUGUUGUUAAGGAAGCGGUACUUAACCAGAAAGGAACGGCUAACUACGUGCCAGCAGCCGCGGUAAUUC